rnacentral:rRNA from 1 species
GAUGAACGCUAGCUACAGGCUUAACACAUGCAAGUCGAGGGGAAACGAUAUUGGAAGCUUGCUUCCGAUAGGCGUCGACCGGCGCACGGGUGAGUAACGCGUAUCCAACCUGCCCAUCACUUGGGAAUAACCUUGCGAAAGUAAGACUAAUGCCCAAUGACAUUUAUAGAAGGCAUCUGAAAUGAAUUAAAGAUUUAUCGGUGAUGGAUGGGGAUGCGUCUGAUUAGUUUGUUGGCGGGGUAACGGCCCACCAAGGCGACGAUCAGUAGGGGUUCUGAGAGGAAGGUCCCCCANAUUGGAACUGAGACACGGUCCAAACUCCUACGGGAGGCAGCAGUGAGGAAUAUUGGUCAAUGGGCGAGAGCCUGAACCAGCCAAGUAGCGUGCAGGAAGACGGCCCUAUGGGUUGUAAACUGCUUUUAUAGGGGAAUAAAGUGAGCCACGUGUGGUUUUUUUGCAUGUACCCUAUGAAUAAGGACCGGCUAAUUCCGUG